rnacentral:tRNA from 1 species
AUUUAUAUAGUUUAAUAAUAAAACUUUAUAUUUUCAUUAUAAAAACAAGAACAAUUUUUCUUUAUAAAUA